rnacentral:lncRNA from 13 species
GGGGAUUUAGUCGAUUUAAAUUUGGGGUUACUGCCAUUUGAUGUUAACUGGCUGUUUGAUCCAUUCGUUGAUGUAAAUUCUUCUUUAUGUUGGUGGUUUUUACUUUUUGGUAUAUUUUUAGAAAGGCUAAUACUGGUUGUUUCUUUCUGUGUGUAAUGCCUCUUUCAGAAGCUCUUGUAAAGCAGGCCUGGUGGUAAUAAAAUCUCUGAGUUCUUGCUUGUUCAUAAAAGAUUUUAUUUUUCCUUCAGUUGUGAAGCUUAGUUUGGCUGGAUAUGAAAUUCUGGGCUGAAGGUUCUGUUCUUUGAGGAUGUUGAAUAUUGGCCCCCACUCUCUUCUGGCUUGUAGAGUUUCUGCCGAGAGAUUUGCUCUAAGUCUGAUAGGCUUGCCUUUGUGGGUAACCUGACCUUUCUCUCUGGCUGCCCUUAGUAUUUUCUCCUUCGUUUCAACCCUGGUGAAUCUAACGAUUAUGUGCCUUGGGAUUGCUCUUCUUGAGGAAUAUCUUUGUGGUGUUCUCUGUGUUACCUGGGGUUGAAUGUUGACCUGCUUUGCUAGUUUAGGAAAAUUUUCCUGAAUAAUAUCCUGAAGGGUAUUUUCCAGCUUGGAUUCAUUCUCUCCAUCACAUUCAGGUACACCUAUCAAACGUAAAUUUGGUCUUUCCACAUAGUCCCACAUUUCUUGUAGACUUUGCUCAUUCCUUUUUAUCCUUUGUUCUCUAAUCUUGUCUUCUUGUUUUAUUUCAUUAAGUUGGACUUUGACCUCUGAUAUCCUUUCUUCUGCUUCAACAAUUUGAGUGUUUAAACCUGUGCAUACUUCUGGGAGAGUUCCUGUAUUGUAUUCUUCAGUUCCAUUAAUUCACUUAUAUUCCUCUCUAAUUUGUCUAUUCUCAAUAGGAUUUCGUCAAACCUUUUUUCAAAGUUCUUAGUUUCUUUAUGUUGGGCUACAACGUGUUCUUUUAACUCACAGAAGUUUCUUAUUACCCAUUCCCUGAAGAGUGAUUCUGUUAUUGGGAUGCGCUCAUUCUCCAUCAAGCCUUGUGUUCCAUUGUUGAUGUGGAACUGUGAUCAUCUUUAGAGGGAGAGGCGUUCUGAUUUUGAGUAUUCUCAGCCUUUUUAUGCUGGUUUCUUCCCAUCAUUGUAAAUUUAUCCUCCUGUCAUUUUUGAAAUUACCAACUUUCAGAUUAGGUCUCUUGAGUGGACGUCCAAGUUGUUAGUUCCCAGGGCCAGAACAGCGGGUUAAGACUGAUGGAGCUUUUCUGCCCAGGAUUCUCCUUUCUGGCUUCCUUCUUGUGUCCGAAAUAGGCGACUCUGCCUUCCCGGGGCUCCAAACCUCGGUCAGAAGGGGAGCCAGCCCUGUUUACUCUGCUCCGAGAGCUGCCAUGCCAAGGUGCCGGCA